rnacentral:lncRNA from 1 species
UUUCAAUUGCAAAGCUCACUGUUUUUGCUAAUUUUUAACUUGUUUGCUGUUUUGUGUGUUUGCUGUUUUUUUAAUUACAAAUGGCUGGAUCUUCAAGUGAUGCAUCCUACAAGCAGAAUUCUCCUUCCAAAGCUUCAAUUCUUGGUGAAUUACAUGAAGCUCAAAGAACAAUUAGAAGGUUGGAGGAGAAAUUGCAAAAGAUGGAGGUCCAACAAACUAGACCAUCUCCUUCUAUCCAUGAUGGACAUCAUUCUCAUAGACCAUCUUCAAGAGCUUCUUCAAAUGAUGUUGGCCGUGAAGAUGAGCAUAGGAGAAGGAGACCUCCACCCCAAGUCCAUGGACAAAGACAUCAUCACCAAGGGGAAAGAAUUCACUACGGCAAUGGCUUCUACCAUGAUGCAAAGUCCAAG